rnacentral:rRNA from 1 species
CAGCCGCCACGGGAAUACGAAGGGUGCAAGCGUUACUCGGAAUUACUGGGCGUAAAGCGUGCGUAGGUGGUGGUUUAAGUCCGUUGUGAGAGCCCUGGGCUCAACCUGGGAAUUGCAGUGGAUACUGGGUCACUAGAGUGUGGUAGAGGAUAGUGGAAUUUCCGGUGUAGCAGUGAAAUGCGUAGAGAUCGGAAGGAACAUCUGUGGCGAAGGCGACUAUCUGGGCCAACACUGACACUGAGGCACGAAAGCGUGGGGAGCAAACAGGAUUAGAUACCCCUGUAGUCCCUGUCUCUUAUAC